AAGAUGUGAUAUAUAUGUGUAUCAACUCACCACAAUAAAUGUAAAAACUGACUCAAAAUACCCAUCGAGAGAGGAUUUUCUAAAAUAAAAAUGUACGCAUUAAAAUGGAAAUAUUGUCCAAAUAACUCUUUUGUUUUCCAUUCCCUGUGCGCUGAGGAAGAUUCAAUGACAUGAUAACCCCGAGAGCUGUGGUAAGAAGUUAUCUGCUACCUUCUGAGAGAGAUAAAAUAAAAUGCCUGUCUCUUCUCUGCACAUUGGGACUGCAUCAUUGAUGCACAGUGGAUAAAACAUUUCUGUUCCUACUUGGAGUGGUCGAAUAUUUAAUCCCCUACUGAAAAUACAGUGGAGAGAACAACCACCUGUGUUGCCCUGGACAGCUCCAGUUUGGACAGGGAGAGUCUUGCAUCUAAAGAAACUCAGAGGUGAACAGACGCAACUGGUCACUGCUGACAUCUGAGAUCGAUGUCUACUCCCCUCUGCGUGAAAGGCACACAUGAGGACACCAGAACGAUGCUGGGAAUGGUUUUCACACAGGUGCAGGUCCUCACCAGCAUCUUCUCGGGUGUCUGCAAACUCUGGACAAAAUACCAAAUAGGCCAACAGGCAAGAGAGAGAGAAAGAAGGAAAGAGAGAGACAUUAAGCAUUGACGGCUGGAGUCUGUAGUUCUCUUAAGCAGAACUGCUAAACUUCUGCUGAUGAUAUGAUACUCUACAUUGAAG
rnacentral:lncRNA from 1 species